GACUGGCCGAAGAAGCAGAGGGACUUCAGGUGGCUCCUCGCCGCCUCCUCGUCACUGAAGCCCGCCUGGCACUUGCGGCAGACCAACUUAUGCAGUGCUCCUGGGAGCUGUGGUACAGCCGGAUGCUGGAUCCUGGAGGUAAAGGUCGGAAAGACGGCUGGAUUCAGAGAAGACGGGUGAGGACAAAGGAGGAACAAGAGAGGUACAGAGGAAGAACCACGAGUAGUUCUCGUGAGUAGAAAAGAGUCAAAAAUAAUGACACUAACCGGGCUGCUUGGCUGCCUCCUCCACACUGGAGUUCCCGUCUCGAUCUGGAACCGCCGUUGGGAGGAACAUGCUGCUGGGCAUCACCAUCUCAGGGGUAGUCACCUGAAGAGCAGGAGGCAGAGAAGCGAGCAGAGUCAAAUGGAGAGGAAAGAGACACAAAAUGGGGAGAUCUGUAAAAAUUAUUUAAUAAGCAAAAUUAGCCUUCACCAGUGUGAAGCUGGAGGUGUCACUUUUCAUAGCUCACUGAAGACUCAUGUUUAUUAGACAAAGCUCACAUCAGUCAAAAGUGUUUCUACGGUUACAUUCUGGACAUAAUUAGCAGUGCACACUUGAAGAAUAAUCUUAUUAUUAAUAUUUUUCCUUUAUGCAGAAUUUUGACUUUGAUCACUGACAAUGUUUUGUCAUGGGCUGUGAAACUUCUUGUGCAACCAAUUAGGUAGAUAAGUUGAAAGGCCCACCUUAAGCUGCUGAAAACAUAAUAAGGGCCCUAAUUAAAUCAUACCUAGUAAAGUACACUGUAAUCUUGAAGCAGGGAGCAUUGUAGUACUGUUUUCAAAAUGUAUUCAGGCAAGAAGAGGAGGGGAAUGAGAGCGAAGGAAAGGGUAAGAAGCAGGGGAGAGAACAAAGGGAAGGCUAAGGACACGCAGACACGUUGGCAGAUUUUCCAGGAAACAACAUUUUGUAACCCUUUACAAGCUGAGAUCAAGUGCUAACAAGCACUUCUUAUGACUCACUGCAGCCAGGAUUUCUCCUGGAGUCUUUGCCCAAGAUACACAGCAUCAGCGGGAACUCGCAGCCCGUGGCCCAGCCACACGUUCUACAACAGGGCAGGCCCACCUGGGCCAGGGCUGCUGUUUCUUAGUACAGCAAUUCCAGAAUGAGCCUGGGUCAGAAGAGCUGCAGUUUAAAGUCAGAGCUUUAGAUGUUUCUCCAGGCUUCCAUGCCAUCUGGCCAGAAGCUUGUCCAAACACGGUAUCAUUUUGUCCUACAUUAAUGUGAUAAGAAGGCCUCAAUAUCCAAAGUAAGGAUCAAAGGUUGUUCAUUCCAAAAGAAGCAACAUCCGUUUGCCUCCUACAGGGUGGGAAGAUAGUUGGCAGUGAUGUUCCCAAAUGAAUUAGAAAUCAUUCCCUGUUUGAUGACAGCCUGAGAAAUAGCCUGACCCUGGGGUUACAGGAACAGACACUUAAGGAGUUGCCGUUACCUUUCUACACGGCACCCAGCCCCACCUGGGGGCAUUAUUUUUCCAUUAAACAUGACUACUGAGAUAGUACCUUGCUGUUGAACACCUAGAUUACUGUUCAAAAUUAAAUAUUUAAAAUAAGUUACUAUUAACUUUUAACGGUUUGAGGACCCUGGCCUGGCUCAUAAUUGCUGCUGACAUGUUCACUAGAAUCAUCGGUGGUAGGUUUCACUCCUAGAGAAAACCUGGACAGCUGUCCCCAUCAUACCAAAAAGCCAACUCCCUGGGACAUACUGGGGUAUUAGAAUAAUUCCAGCAACCCAGCGGCCUGUAGGAGCAAAAAUCAAGCAACAGGCACUGUGGAGAAGGGCUCUGAGAAACCCUGUGUUUACGAAGAACAGGUGCAUGGCAGGUGCAUGUGACUGACACAGAAUUCCUGCUCACACAGACAGACAUCUGCACCCUCACACAAAGCUCGUCAGCAGCUGGUUAAGACUAGCUGCUGAUGAAUCGUUAGGAAUGGAGCGGAGAUUGCCAAACUCAUUCCAUCUAUUUUCUUUUUAAUAGAAAGCAUUUCUGACCGGUGUGGUUGGGGAGUCCAGCGGGAAUCCAAGAAGUGAAAGGUCACCGAUUAAUUUAUGGUCCUCAACCAAGGGGGAGCACGAGGUUGGGGGCAAGAGGGGGAGAAAGGGAAAGGAAAAAAGACUCCCCCCCACCUCCUUUCUCGGUUGUAGCUGCAGGAUCAGUCCUUUCCUGGGAUCUUUAGGAAUUAUGAAAAAUGAAUCAUGAGAAAUAAAAAAAAAAGCCCUACAGAGUAAAAAAGAAUAAAAUUAUCUAACACCUCAGCUGCACAUCAUUAUAGAAAACUGUGGGCUUUUUAUACGCAUUACAGUAAGGCAGACAUCCCCUCUAACAGACUCAGUACGACGGAUCAGUAAUUGUUUUCAUACACUUUAAUUAGAAAAACUCAGAUGGCUAUGAAUAAUAAUGGAAAAGAGAGACUUUUGCACUUGAAAGGUUGAAGUCAAUCAAGUGUGAAUGACGGCAAAAAAGAAAAAAAAAAAAGACACCAAUUCAUCAGCC